CCUAACACUUCUCUCUCUAGUUCGCCUCCCCCCAAAUCUCAAUUUGUCGCGCCUUCCCCGAGUCCGCCGCGCCCCCCGAUCUACCGCGCCUUCAUCCAGCUCCCCCAGUCCAUCGCGCCCUCGGUCUGCCUCCGUCGCGCCCUCGUUCUUGCUCCGGCGUGUUUUAUUGGCCGACUGUGCGGCGGCGGCGGGCUAGGGUUUUGAAACCCUAGCUGUGAUGAAGAGAAGAAACGGGUCAGAAAGAUGGGCUAGGGUUUUCCAGACUCCAGUCUUCGCCGCGUCUCCACGAUCUGCCGCGCCGCUUCCUUUUCAGACCGCCGUCCGUCUAUCCACCGGCAACUCACGCACACCGCACACGGUAAGCCCUCUCUUUCAGAAUUUGAAUUACAGUAGGCUUUUUCUUAAGUUUUUGGAAUUAGAAUUUCAAAUUUGCUUGAAUUUGUUUCAAAUUUUACUCUGUUAUUGUAUAAUGUGUAUAGCUGUGUGAUGAGUUUUAUCUCUUUCCGAUUUCUGGAUCUUGUCAAAUUUGACCUCUGAGUUUCCUUCAUGGAGCAUCGCCACCACUGAUUUCAACAACCGCCGCCGUCUGAUUCACCCGCCACUUCUCGGCCGUAGCAGUCACACUGUGUUCUCUCUCUCAUUUAAUGCCUAUUUCUAAUCUCUUCAAUCGAUUUUGAGGCUUCUAAUUUGUUAUUUUGUUUUAUCUUGCAACUGCAAAAUUUGGGAUUUCUUGAUUUCUUAGAUGAAGGCUGGCUGGAUAUCUCGAGGUUUGGGGAACAAAUUAAUUGCUAAUUCUUUUCAAAUUGGAAGCGUUUCUUUGAUUUCUCUCCUGGGUUCCUCUGCUGCUGGUCUUACACAAGCU
rnacentral:lncRNA from 1 species